CCUACGGGAGGCAGCAGUGAGGAAUAUUGGUCAAUGGACGAGAGUCUGAACCAGCCAAGUAGCGUGAAGGAUGACUGCCCUAUGGGUUGUAAACUUCUUUUAUAUGGGAAUAAAAUGUUCCACGUGUGGGAUUUUGUAUGUACCAUAUGAAUAAGGAUCGGCUAACUCCGUGCCAGCAGCCGCGGUAAUACGGAGGAUCCGGGCUUUAUCCGGAUUUAUUGGGUUUAAAGGGAGCGUAGGUGGAUUGUUAAGUCAGUUGUGAAAGUUUGCGGCUCAACCGUAAAAUUGCAGUUGAAACUGGCAGUCGUGAGUACAGUAGAGGUGGGCGGAAUUCGUGGUGUAGCGGUGAAAUGCUUAGAUAUCACGAAGAACUCCGAUUGCGAAGGCAGCUCACUGGACUGCAACUGACACUGAGGCUCGAAAGUGUGGGUAUCAAACAGGAUUAGAUACCCGAGUAGUC
rnacentral:rRNA from 1 species